UACGGGGGGGGCAAGCGUUGUUCGGAAUUACUGGGCGUAAAGGGUUCGUAGGUGGCCAACUAAGUCAGACGUGAAAUCCCUCAGCUUAACUGGGGAACUGCGUCUGAUACUGGUUGGCUUGAGUGCAGGAGAGGAGAUUGGAAUUUACGGUGUAGCAGUGAAAUGCGUAGAUAUCGUAAGGAAGACCAGUGGCGAAGGCGAAUCUCUGGACAGUUACUGACACUGAGGCACGAAGGCCAGGGGAGCAAACAGG
rnacentral:rRNA from 1 species